AGGCACAUUUGGUCGAUACCUCGGCUCUCGAAUCGACGAAGACCGUAGCAAACUGCGAUAAUUCACUUGAAUUGUAGCGUUUACCGCGAUAGUCGAACUGUUGAACGCACAUGAUGACCGACUGUCCCUUGCAAAAGGGGCAGCUAGGCCACUCUCGUUUGAGAGACCUU
rnacentral:rRNA from 1 species